rnacentral:rRNA from 1 species
UGAGGAAUAUUGGACAAUGGAGGCAACUCUGAUCCAGCCAUGCCGCGUGCAGGAAUAAGGUCCUAUGGAUUGUAAACUGCUUUUAUACGGGAAGAAAAAGAGCUAUGCGUAGCUUGUUGACGGUACCGUAAGAAUAAGGACCGGCUAACUCCGUGCCAGCAGCCGCGGUAAUACGGAGGGUCCGAGCGUUAUCCGGAAUCAUUGGGUUUAAAGGGUCCGUAGGCGGGUUAUUAAGUCAGUGGUGAAAGUUUUCGGCUUAACCGAAAAAUUGCCAUUGAUACUGGUAGUCUUGAAUAAUUGUGAAGUAACUAGAAUAUGUAGUGUAGCGGUGAAAUGCUUAGAUAUUACAUGGAAUACCAAUUGCGAAGGCAGGUUACUAACAAUUUAUUGACGCUGAUGGACGAAAGCGUGGGUAGCGAACAGG